CCCCUAGAUGUUCUGGGCCGCACGCGCGCUACACUGAACAGUUCAACAAGUCUUAACCUUGGCCGAAAGGUCUGGGUAAUCUUUGAACGCUGUUCGUGAUUGGGAUAGACCUUUGCAAUUAUGGGUCUUCAACGAGGAAUUCCUAGUAAACGCAAGUCAUCAGCUUGCAUUGAUUACGUCCCUGCCCUUUGUACACACCGCCCGUCGCACCUACCGAUUGAAUGGUCCGGUGAAAUCUCGGGACGGCGGCUCGGUCGCUUGCGUCCGACUGCUGAAACUUGAUUAAACCAUAUCAUUUAGAGGAAGGUGAAGUCGUANCA
rnacentral:rRNA from 1 species